UCUCUCUAAAACCAAAGAGAAAGAGGAUUUCGGAAGCUGAGGGCGUCGCUUUCUGCUCCCCAGGCGCAUGAAGCGGCAUGUGUGCCGGCAGCGGUCGGAUCUCCCCAUCGGGUAGGGCGGAAUAAUUAAUGUGAUGAGUCGCGGUCUCUGCCAGCAUUGUGCACACCCCCAGAAAUCAACCUCCACCUGCAGCUUCUGCCUGUGACUCUGCUGGCACAGUGAUAACCACGGCCCCUAUGGAGAGCACUGGGGUCUCCAGAAACGCCUUCCCCACCUCACCUGCCCACCCGUCCUGCUCACCUGCCCUCCUGGCCGCGCUCCCUCGCCAGCCGCUUCGCCCUUUCCGCCUGGAUCUCUUCGCAGAUGGCCGCGUAGGGUUUGUCUGAAGGAUGCUCGCCCAUCACCCAGACCCAGACGUCGUUGUCGGCGCCCAGUUUCCACGUCACCGACUUCCCGCUGCCUGGGAAAGAAGCAGCUUCUGUGGCAAAUGCUCCGUACGGGGUCUGCGUCCCUCCCGCCGUCCCCUCCCGGCUGCUGCCGAUGACAGAGCCUCUCCAAAAGCAGCUGGACAUGGGGAAAGCUCGGCCAGGAUCCUGCUUCACCUCCCAUUUAGUAUCAUGGUACUGAAGCCAGGAGCGGCCGGCUGGGCCAGAGGCAGAGCAGACACUCACCUUUUCUCGGUGGUGGCUUCUCGGCUGGAGCUUUGUUGGCGGCCGCUUCUCUUUCCUCCCAGCGCCUGAUCUGCUCCUGCCUCAUCUUGAAGAACAGGAUCUGCUUCUGCUCCUCGCUGAGCUCCGCCAGCAGCUCGGGGUCGAUGUACAUCUCCGAUAGGAUCUGUUUCAGCAUGGCUGCGGGUCGCAGGUACCCACGUUGGCGGUGACGAUCUCCGGGGCUCAGAUCCGCUCUGACGAGAACAGGUCCCUCGGAGCCUGGGGCAGGAAUGCAGGCGUGCCAGGGUAAUUAUACGCCUUUUUUUUUAGCUCAGACUUCCUGCACAGACCAAAAAAAAAGUAAAUAAGUAUCUUAAAACUUGCUAUUCAGAUUCCUGGAAAUAAGAGGUGAGCUCCCACGCAGCCCCCGCGCGCUCGGCGGGGCCAGAAGGGCCGAGUGCCGGAGCAGGGAGGUUGUGCCGAUGCGCCGAUAAAGCCGGUGAUAGGAUAUCGGAAGAGAGCCGGUCGCAGUCAGCGGAGGCGCGGCUUGGCCCUGCCGAGCAAACAUUCCUGCUGGGCAGGGAAUCAAUGAACCCACCAGCUCCUCCUUCCUUCCAAAAAGGAGAACUUGGAUGUUCCAAAGCCCAACCUGCCUGGGAAAGGUGGGGAGGGCUUUUGGUUCUGCUUUUAGGGGGAGGGGAGGAGUAAGUUUGGGGUGUUCUCGUUCACUGUAGGUGGAAAGCCAAGGGAGGAAGAAAGCCGAGGUGGAUGAUGAGGAGCCUGAUGGGUCCUGCUGAUGUGUCUGCUCCGGGCGGCGAGCCUGGCGUGGGACAUCCUGGUGUGGGACAUCCUGGUGUGGGACAUCCUGGUGUGGGACCCCCCGGCGUGGGACAUCCUGGUGUGGGACAUCCUGGUGUGGGACCCCCCGGCGUGGGACACCCCAACCGGACGAGACGGAGGGGGUGGAGAGAAGGAGCAGCACCCCUGUUCCUGCCCAGGGUGCCGGGUCAUGUCCGGUGCACGUCAGCGAGGACCCAACACCCACACAGCUCCGGGGCUGGGUUUCCUUGUCACACUUGCUGCAAGAGGAAAAUUCUAACGCUCUGUCCCAAAGGCACCCAUGAAAGCACCAGCUCUGCCGGGAAAUCACAUGGAAGGGAAACUCCCAGUUUGGUCAUCACAGAAGGACAACACGACCGUAUAAGCUUGGCCCUCAGAAGACAGAACUCUUUGUAUUUUAUUUAGCAUAAAUAGAUGAAUUCUGGUGUAUGACACUUGAAAGAACAAAAUCAAUGCAGUCACUGCAGCAUCAACUGCCUUGAGAUGACUUACAGCAGAACUGACUUGCCUUGCAGGUCCCUGGUUUUGCUGGAGGUUAUUUUAAAAUCAUUUUGCAGAGGUUAUUUUAAAGCAGGUACAAAUGGGUGAGGAUGGUGAAAAGGAAAAAUAAUUAGACAAGGCAGUGCUGGCGAGACGCAUCCUCUCAAGAAGAAGGUUUAUUUCCUGCUACAAUUAAGUACAAACACCUCUACAAAGUGGGAAUCAUCUUCCUCUUUCAAAAUUACUUAGGGCAUUACCCAAGAGAAGGUCAGUGUGGGGGAAAGGGCUGCGGUUGACACACAGGAUCACGUAUAGAACCCUGCCUGCUACAAUAAAGUUUUUCUAAACCUAA